rnacentral:lncRNA from 1 species
AUGCAUAUGUGUGUUGUGCCCAUGUAUGUGAGCCUGCCUCUGUUUACCCAACAAGUCACAAGAAUCGGUUUGGUGUCUGCUUUGUGCAGGGGGUGGUGGUGGAAGGGCAAUGAACGCAGGUCCAGCAAUCCACAUCCAGGGGCGACUGCAGGAGGGGAUGUGUUCAUCACACGUUUCUCUCGAUACAUGGCUAUAAAAGGGGUUCUCACUUGCAGCAGAUAUGGCAGAGUGCAUCCCUCAGCCUCCCUCCACCUGGUCCAUGGGCCAGCAGCCCCCCAACACCUCUACUGCCUGCCCACUGGAGCCUGUGAACCUGGGUGUCUUGGAGCAGCAAAUGCCACUGGAGCAGCCCCCAUCCUCCCCGGAGCUGGGUGAGGAUGAGGAUGUCACCUCCCCGCCAGAUCCUGAUGUCCCCUACCCUGACUUGGCCCCGGUCGUCUUCUUUUGCUUGAAGCAGACCACCAGCCCACGGAGCUGGUGCAUCAAAAUGGUGUGCAACCCAUAUCCUUUCUGAGCUGCCUCUUCUCCAUCCUCACCUCCUGCCCCGUCCCUCCUCUCUCCCUGUCCCCUCAGGGCGCCUGCCAGGUAAGCAAUGAACUUUCCUAUGUAUUUAAUGAACCGCU